AAAGUUGUCGCAUAAAGGUAUUGCGUUUCAUUGUAAAUGAAAUACAGGUUAAGCUGUUUUAAUGGUUCGAAUCCAUUCAACUUCA